GGAUGUGAGGGUUACCUGGCUGCAAUAUCUAUUAACCCUUUAAUCCCCAGGGUUGACUGGGCUGAUCUGUCUGGCUAGGCAAGCGUCCCCUUCCUCCCUCACCAUUCCAUGUGCAUCCCUCCUAAAGCUACACAGCUGGUCAAAGAGGACAAUCUUCCUCAAUAAAGGAGGACCAUUCUUCAGUCAAGAGUAUCUGGUAGUUGUGCUCCCCUCUAGAACCUCCAAACAAGCUUUCGAAGUCCACUCACAGGAAACACAGGGUAGUCAAGCUUCCAAGCCUCCAGACUCACACAAAUGGGGCACUGCAUGUGGCAGUCUGCCUUUCU
ensembl:misc_RNA 7SK 7SK RNA